ACGGAAGGCAGCAGUGGGGAAUAUUGCACAAUGGGCGCAAGCCUGAUGCAGCGAUGCCGCGUGAGGGAAGAAGGUUUUCGGAUUGUAAACCUCUGUCAACAGGGACGAAAAUGACGGUACCUGUGAAGGAGCUCCGGCUAACUACGUGCCAGCAGCCGCGGUAAUACGUAGGGAGCAAGCGUUAUCCGGAAUUACUGGGUGUAAAGGGAGUGUAGGCGGGACUGUAAGUCAGAUGUGAAAUAUGCCGGCUCAACUGGCAGACUGCAUUUGAAACUGCGGUUCUUGAGUGAAGUAGAGGUAAGCGGAAUUCCUAGUGUAGCGGUGAAAUGCGUAGAUAUUAGGAGGAACAUCAGUGGCGAAGGCGGCUUACUGGGCUUUAACUGACGCUGAGGCUCGAAAGCGUGGGGAGCAAACAGGAUUAGAUACCCUGGUA
rnacentral:rRNA from 1 species